rnacentral:rRNA from 1 species
AUUGAACGCUGGCGGCAGGCCUAACACAUGCAAGUCGAACGAGUGGCGGACGGGUGAGUAAUGUCUGGGAAACUGCCUGAUGGAGGGGGAUAACUACUGGAAACGGUAGCUAAUACCGCAUACCAUCAGAUGUGCCCAGAUGGGAUUAGCUAGUUGGUGAGGUAACGGCUCACCAAGGCCACGAUGCAUAGCCGACCUGAGAGGGUGAUCGGCCACACUGGGACUGAGACACGGCCCAGACUCCUACGGGAGGCAGCAGUGGGGAAUAUUGCACAAUGGGCGCAAGCCUGAUGCAGCCAUGCCGCGUGUAUGAAGAAGGCCUUCGGGUUGUAAAGUACUUUCAGCGGGGAGGCGUUACCCGCAGAAGAAGCACCGGCUAACUCCGUGCCAGCCGCCGCGGUAAUUC